rnacentral:lncRNA from 1 species
AUCGCCAAGUACAUGGAGGACAAGCACGGCGCGUCGCUGCCGGCCAACUACAAGAAGAUGCUCUCCAUCCAGCUCCGCGGAUUCGCCGCCAAGGGCAAGCUCGUCAAGGUCAAGGCCUCCUACAAGCUCUCUGACGCUGCCAAGAAGGACUCCCCCAAGGCCAAGCCCGCCGCCGCCAAAACCGCCGCGGCCAAGCCGGUCAAGGCCACCGCCAAGCCCAAGAAGACCGCCGCAGCCGCCACCAAGCCCAAGAAGACCGCCGCCGCCGGGACCAAGCGCAAGACGCCGGAGAAGAAGAAGAUUGUUGCGAAGCCGAAGAAGUCCCCCGCGGCGAAGGCCAAGGCCAAGCCCAAGACCGUCAAGUCCCCCGCCUCCAAGAAGGCCCGGAAGGUCGCCGCAUGAGUCUGUUCCAUAGGUCGU